CCAUAUUUGUAAUAGACCCAUAAUCAAGCAUAGUGUGGAUGCAGCAGAUGGUCGAUAACCCUUUCUCCUUCCCUAGGACUUGCCAAUUGUAUCUACAACAAAUUAAUUCAGGCAAUCGUCAUCAACAUGAGCUGGAACCGAUUACAAACACUAAGUUACGAACAAAGCAAAUACCCAAGAGCUUCUCACCACAAGACAAUAGAAUUGUAGCGAAGGAAAAUCUAUGCAAAUUUGAAGAUGAAAAGGCAACCUCAUGGAUAAGCAUAGAUACUAGGAUUGUAUUGCCAGACGAAGAAGGCACAACAUGUACCACAAAGGGUACGAAUAAACAUCGUGUGAGAUGAUAUAACUCAUUUCAGAAAGGUACACGGAUAAGAAUAGUACUGGUGAUUGAGGAUGCACCUCAUAGAUGGAAGACAAUGAAAUAAUAGCACUGUUACACAAUAGGACAUAAAUAGUGAAGAAUGUCGUUGUGGCAUAAAUCCCAUGAACUCAUUUCAGAAAGGUAGAAGGUUAAAAUACUAUUGGUGAUUGAAAAUGCAGCACAUAGAUGGCGGACUCUGAAAUAAUAGCAAUACUACACAAUAGGAGGAAUGCUUCUAGAACACAAAUAGUGAAGAAUAUCGUUGUGGCAUCAAUCCCCAUUCACGAGAAGAGGUCAUCCGAAAAAUAGACACAACAGAAAUUUAUAACAUUGUAAUGCAAGCAACUUUUGUUAUGCACAAAACUCCAAGAACGGAAAUGUCGUUUUCUUGAAGUACUCUUCUGGUGGAAUAUGGAAUAUCAUUAUGGAAUUCCUUGCAUCCACACAGGUGAUAAGGGCAUACCUCCUAGUCUGCUCAGUUGAUUGAGUGUAGCUACAAAAUAAGCUUGGUUCUUGGACCUAAAUUUGCUUUCACUUUAUAAGAGAUAGACCAUUUGCGCAACAACAAAGUGAAAACAUCAGUCCUUUGAACCAUGAAAC
rnacentral:lncRNA from 1 species